CAAACAUCUCACGCAGACGCACGCAGGCACCGACCGAAAACCGCAGCUUGUCAUGAACCCAUGAUUGUCCGUCUUUUUAAUUUUUUACUUUCAUUUCAAUUUAAUUUUGCUCAAGUGAGGCAUUAAGACUGUGUGCAACAAGAACAGAAACGUCACUUUACUGCCCAUUCAUUUUUAUUCACCGAUAUUCCUACUUAAAGUUGGUCUGUUCAUCUACUCCAGCGACGCCUUUUACCGACGCAUUUCGCCUUUUCGACGAUGUCACAUAGAGACUGGGAUUUAGCUUGCAAAGUUUAUGUGGGUAACUUGGGGAAUCAUGGAUCCAAGUAUGAACUCCAGAAUGCUUUUACCAAGUAUGGACCAAUCCGUAAUAUUUGGGUCGCCAGAAACCCACCAGGUUUCGCAUUUAUUGAAUUCGAAGAUCCAAGAGAUGCUGAAGACGCUGUGAAAGCUUUAGAUGGAACAAAAUUGUGCGGAACAAGGAUCCGAGUAGAAAUGUCAUCAGGUCACUCAAGCGGCAGAAGGCGAGGUGGCGGCAGUGGAGGCGGUGGUGGUGGUGGACGAUUUGGAGGUAGCGGAAGAGGAGGCGAAAGACGUCCAUACAAAUACAGGAAAUGUGCCAAGAUCCUCCUCACGACUUUUACACAUCUGUUAACACGAAUACGAGAUCUUCCCCCCAAAUACAUGGAUUUUAUUUCAUCCAACCACCCAUCAACAAGAUACCUUUUCACAAAAUUCUUCCUAUCUGUUAUCUGAACUGCUAUUUGCUGAGAAGCCAGCGCACUCCAAUCAACCAUCCUCCAAAUUGAGUGCAUUCCUCUCGAAUAGUCGCUAUUGGCUCUACAGUGGAAUCGCAAACUUCUCCACUUAGUCAAUAAUGGUGCUUCGGUGGAAUUGCAAACUUCUUCAUUUUGAAGCGAAAAAUUUACCAACUUAGCCUCCGUUUUUUCUUGGUGUCUCAUCAAUAACUCGACUUGUCGUCUAUUCAUCUAAGAUGAAACUGCAUCUGCUAUGCUUCAUGCCGAUCAUCUUUUUAAAGCAUUCUACUUAAUAUCUCAUCCUUUAUUGUACGUCAGGUCUGGUCUAGGUCACCAUCUCCAAGACGUGGACGAUCUUUCUCCCGAUCUCGUAGUCGCAGCCGUUCUCCAGAGGUUCGCAGACGUUACUCAAGAUCUAUUUCCCCACGCUAAUAGCUUUUCCCGAGGAUGCUGUUUCUGGAGGCAAGAACAACCGAAACGUUCAUGUAACCAAAUAUCAAGAUAACAUGUUAUUUUGUAAGCAUUUAAUUUUUUACUGUCUCUCAAAUUCCAGUUACCUGCGUUAAUUGUUGUGUGGAUCAAGCAAGGUUUUAUAUAUUUCCAAAUUACCUAUACUUAAUUCAAACUUCUUACUUUUUACUUCUUACUGUUUACUUUUGAAUUUUUAGUUCUACAUAGAGGCAUCCAGCCUUCAGUCCUGUUCAUUCUUAAAUUAGUCUAAUACUAUACAGGUGAUUCAAUAGAAGUUUGAAAGAAUAGUUUACGCAAGUGUGAUUUUGAAACUGAAGGAUGUAAUUUCUGACAAAAACUUGUAUAUAUUAUCAUGUUUCUAUUAAAUGGUCUCUUACCCACUAUA